rnacentral:tRNA from 1 species
GAGGGUAUAGCUCAGUGAUAGAGUGCAUGCUUAGCAUGCAUGAGAUCCUUGGGUUCAACCCUCAAUUCCUCUA